rnacentral:rRNA from 1 species
GCACAAGCGGUGGAUUAUGUGGAUUAAUUCGAUGCAACGCGAAAACCUUACCUACCCUUGACAUGUCCGGAAUCCCGAAGAGAUUUGGGAGUGCUCGCAAGAGAGCCGGAACACAGGUGCUGCAUGGCUGUCGUCAGCUCGUGUCGUGAGAUGUUGGGUUAAGUCCCGCAACGAGCGCAACCCUUGUCAUUAGUUGCCAUCAUUUGGUUGGGCACUCUAAUGAGACUGCCGGUGACAAACCGGAGGAAGGUGGGGAUGACGUCAAGUCCUCAUGGCCCUUAUGGGUAGGGCUUCACACGUCAUACAAUGGUCGGUACAGAGGGUUGCCAACCCGCGAGGGGGAGCUAAUCCCACAAAGCCGAUCGUAGUCCGGAUCGCAGUCUGCAACUCGACUGCGUGAAGUCGGAAUCGCUAGUAAUCGUGGAUCAGCAUGUCACGGUGAAUACGUUCCCGGGUCUU